GUUGUUAUAAUCUUCAUCAUUAGCAUCUGUAUUUUCAGUUUUCCGGCCGUCUUUUAUAGUUUAUGUGUUGGAUAAAGUAAGCAAUGACUAUGCAUCAGUUGCGAGUAAUGGAUAGAGAGCGAGACAGGAAGAUGGGAAAGAGAAAUAUCGAGGUCGGGGAUGCGAGAAGAAUGUGGAAGGAAGUCCUUUCGAGGCGGGGAAGCGAGAAAGAUCCUCACUAUUUUCCUCACUAAUCUUAUUAAAUCCGAUCGAAUUUCCUCCAUUCACUUCUCCGAUCGCUAAAGAAAUAGUUUCUUCUCAGUGAGGCUAAGUUAACUUCCUGCAGCUAGCCGCGGGUUGUGAGGGCUGCCGUCUUAGCGCGAAGCACAAGCAGCAUGGACAUGGACAUAAAUAGAUUUUCUGGUGGCUGUUUAUCAGAGGUUCAUAUGAUCAUUACAUUAGUCUGGGGUACAAAUACAAGCAGGUGGUGGUUAUGAAUUGCCUGGAAAGGUUUACAGGAUUGCCAUGUCUCGUCUUCAUAGGCAGCAUCUCACAUUCUAAUUGCUGCUGGAACUGAAGAUGUUCUAUUCUCUGUGAUAUUGCUUCAAGGACAUUCGCUCAAUAAAAGGUAUGGUCACUUUGGUAUGUUGAGAAAUUAAUCCCAUUAAUCUAUUUUCUUUUUCAUUUGAUUUGCAGCAAUUCACUUUGUUUUUCCCUUUAAUUUUUCACUAGCUCAAGUCUGUUACAUGAUGUAUGCCAUGCAAGAGAAGAUCAAACCUAUCAUGGUUGUUUGGGAUUGCUUAGUUGGGUUCCUAAUUUAGUUAGAUUUCCUGUUAGGAUUUAUGUAACCCACAAUUGAAUCUAGACUUGUAGUUAAGGGUGAGGAAUUUAAAUCCAGGGCUUCAGAAACAAGGGGAAGAAUUUAUAUGAAAGCUGAAUGCAUCAAUUGGAGAGAAUAGUUUUAGUCUUGAAAUUUGUGAACCAGUAAACCAUAUAGGUACCAACACCUUUAUUUCGGCAGAACUUAU